CCGUGCUAGAUGGGGUGGUAGCGGUACCCUGUAACCUGCAAUCCGCUGUAGCAGGAUGGAAUUCCAAAUUUAGGGUAGUCAGUGUAUGGUCUGACCUAGGCAAGUGGUGUUGAUAAUUGGGUCCUACGCAAUGAAACCUUGUGAACCUUGUCAGGUCCGGAAGGAAGCAGCAAUAAGCGAGUAGUUUUAUGUGCCGUGGGCAAGCCUGAUUUGAGCUAACGACCUAGGUAACGCGUGUAUUUUCUAAUCGACAUUUGGUGCACGG
rnacentral:SRP_RNA from 1 species